ensembl:lncRNA
UUUCAAACAAGCCAAGAGAUCAGCCAAAAUGCCACAGCUACGCAGAACAAAGCAUGAUCCACAAUGAUCCUGAUUGAUUAGGUGGAAUAUGCAUAAUACACCGUGGUGGCGGAACUCGAAAUGAAUCUAUGCAUUUGACUUCAUUACGAACAUAAUUUAAACCGUGUUAGGCCAGGCCUGUUUAUUCUACACGAGGCAGCGCUCUGUGAAUCCUGUCGGACAAGAAGAAACGAGAUACAUCAAGUUCACUGAAGGAGGGCACCAAUGAAAACGUAGAACCAAUGUCAUCAUGAAACCUUCAAGCGGAGAGGAUUUGGAGGAGAGAACCCGGCGAGAUGAGGAGAAAUGGAGACGGAAGGAAACGAGAGACGCUGACGAGAGACGAGAGGAAGGGAGGCCGGCGGUCGGGAUGAUAUCUACAAACCAGUGGUUCCCUGUCACAUUUAGUAUCCUUACAGGUAAUAAAGCCCUUGCCCUUUCCGCUUCCUCUUCUCGUCCCUCCCCUCCUCACCUGUCUCCUCAACACCAUCUCUGUGCUGUGAUAGCUGUGAUACAGAAACCCUCCAUACAGUUUCAGCUGGCUGAGCAGCUUCAGUCUUGUCAACAGAAGAAACAGUAUUCUACUCAAGCCCCUCAUGACCCUGCACACGGAAAGGCGUCCAUUCGAUCUGUGGUUACUGUGGUUUCCACUGCCGCUGAAGACAGUGGAAGGAGUAACUGCAUUUCCCCCGGAGAUGAACCACCGUUGAGUUCAAGCGAUGCGCGUUCCACGCUGUUGCACACUUCGCGUUUGUGAGAGUCGAUGUAAUAGCCUGGAACCAAAGAAUCGGAGCAGAACUGUGUGUCAACGCAUCGGCUCAUCGGCACAGUAGGAUUUAAAUAGAUCCUUUUUUUAAACUUCUGAAUAAGACGAGCAUUUAUGGAUGGGACCAACUAUCAAAUUACUGAAUGUUAUUGCAAACACGGGGAUGAUUUAUUUAUUUUGCA